rnacentral:lncRNA from 1 species
CAUAAAACAUAACUACCUCCUAAUAAAAGUAAGCCAUACUGACAUACAUUUUUUGCUUCAAAUACCGAUGGUUAAAUUUUAAAUCUGGUAUUAUUUCUCCCAACACUUUUAAUCAAACUUACAAUCAUGUACUGAUGUAUUUGAUUCUGUUGCAAGUUAUUGCCAGCACAAAUUAAAGUAAUGCAGUGUUAAUCUAUAGGUCUUUUUGAUGGAUAGUCAGUAAUUGUAUGUACUUGCAUUUGCAUAGAUACGCUAAAGUUCAAAGCAGAAUAUCAUAAAAUCACUUCCUUCAACUGUUGCAUUUUCUUAUUUAAAUAGUUUUGUAAAUGCUUGAUAAUUAUGUAUUCAUGUUGUUUGAAGCCAUUUUGAAUAUGCAGCUUAUUUGUUUGUUUAAAAAAAAUUGUGUACAUUCACAUGAGACCCAGAAUUCCUGAUCUUUU